rnacentral:rRNA from 1 species
GAUGAACGCUAGCUACAGGCUUAACACAUGCAAGUCGAGGGGAAACGAUAGAGAAAGCUUGCUUUUUCUAGGCGUCGACCGGCGCACGGGUGAGUAACGCGUAUCCAACCUGCCCACCACUUGGGGAUAACCUUGCGAAAGUAAGACUAAUACCCAAUGAUAUCUCUAGAAGACAUCUGAAAGGGAUUAAAGAUUUAUCGGUGAUGGAUGGGGAUGCGUCUGAUUAGCUUGUUGGCGGGGUAACGGCCAACCAAGGCUACGAUCAGUAGGGGGUUUGAGAGGAAGGUCCCCAACAUUGGAACUGAGAAACGGUCCAAACUCCUACGGGAGGCAGAAGUGGGGAAUAUGGUUCAAUGGACGAGAGUUUGAACCAGCAAAUUAGGGUGAAGGUUGCCGGCCCUUUGGGUUUUAAACUGCUUUUAUAAGGGAAUAAAGUGAGUCUCGUGAGACUUUUUGCAUGUCCCUUAUGAAUAAGGACCGGCUAUUCCGUGCCAGCCGCCGCGGUAA